rnacentral:misc_RNA from 1 species
UAUCUGUGGGGAUGGAGUCUAGC